rnacentral:lncRNA from 1 species
CAGAGGUUUCGGGGUUGGUAUGGAGGUGCGGUGCCGCGGAUGGCGGCGCGUGAUGCGGCAUCCGGGGAAGUCUCGGGAGCCCCGCACCCGCCUGCACCCUUCGGGAGCUAUAGUCCUAAAGAAAUGAAGAGAUCUUGCCCAGGGAGGAUCUGAACUAAAAAUGGUGAAUACUGUUAAACCUAUUCAGGAAAUGAAGAGAUCUUGCUC